AGGGGCGGCCUAGGCCCAUGUGCGACAUGGGCCGUGGCACAAGGUUUCUUAAAAAUGAGGGCCACAAAAAAAAAUUAUAGGGUAGUAGUAUUAGUAAGUUAGGGGGUGUAAAAAUUAAUUAUUUAUGUUAGAAAAUGUUGUAAGGGCAGUAAGGCCCAGCCCAACCCGUUUUCCUAAGGAAAAAAAAUAGCAAACAAGAGAAG
rnacentral:lncRNA from 1 species